UCCACUCCCACUGCUUCACUUGACC
rnacentral:piRNA from 1 species